ACUUUUUCGUUCCCCCUUCCCCCAAAAUCCCAAAAUUUGACGAGAAAUCUUUCUUUUUUUUCCCUCCUUUCUUUUCCCAAAAUCGGUUCCCUCCCCCAUCCCUAAAGAAAUCCUAAAAUUUCACUUGAAAUUUCUUUUCUUUUUUUCCCUAUUUUAUUUUUCCCAAACCAUUUCUCCCCUACCCCGAUUCCCUUUAUUUUUCCCUCAAUUUCCUCAAAUCGGCAGCCCUCUGCAUCUCUGUCGAUAGCCUACAGCUGUAUCUCUGUCGACAUCUGCUGUCGGAAUUGUUAUUCUGGUUUCCUUGAUCCCUUUUCCCGUGAUUUGGGUCCAUGCAAUGGGAUUUCACAGUCCUUGGUUUUGGAUAAUGAGAAAAGUGAGCUGGUGGUGAAGUCGCCGGUGAAGGUUGGGAAAAAAAGCGUGGCGGAAGAGAAAGUUAUAGCGGCUUUAAAGAGUCAUAGCGAAGUUGAGAGGAGGAGGAGAGAAAGGAUUAAUGCUCACCUGGACACCCUCCGUACUCUCUUGCCAUAUAGAAAAAAGAGAAAGAGAAAUGGCUGGAAGUAAUGAAAUCAACCUCAACGAGUGCAAGCUAUUGGUUUCAAUUAGAUGAGGCUAACAUAUCCAACACCAGUGUAUAGAGGUAUCUUUGCCACGUUCCUCGCAGGUUCAAGACAGGUUUCAGGAAAGGUACUGAAGCAGCACCAAGAAAGAAGGUUGUAGCAGUUUCUGCUUAAAAGGCAAAUUGUAAUGGUAUGAGGUUUUGUUUUGGAUGAAGCCAUGUUUAUGAGGAAACAUUUAGUGAUGAAGAGUGAAAUUAUGUUCUAUUGGAUGCUUUAGUUGUUAUUUAGUUUCUAUUUGAAUGUAGCUGUCUUAUAUUUUGAACAAUUAUUGGAGCUAAUGUUUGACCCUUAA